rnacentral:lncRNA from 1 species
CAAGUUGUUUUGGUUGUUAAAGCAUGUUGAUUAUGUGAAUUACUACUUUGAAACUCCUAGGCUCUAGUUCAUGACUCUUGAACCUGUUGGCUUAAUAUUGAAUUUGUGUUAUUAUUUGGUUGAGAGUCUAUGAUGAUCCUACUUGAGUUGAUCAUGUGCCAUGUGUUUUGUAAGGUUGUUUUGUAUUCCUUGUUGUAUAUGAUGUCUAGAACUUACCUGGUGUGUGUGUGCAAAGAAAAAUAAGG